CUCCAGAUAGAGGCCCAAACUCAGGUUAGGCUGACAUUCUUUUUAUCCUCGAUUCUGCUGAGUCACUCUGAGAAGGCAAAUAUUGUCAGAAGCCUUGCGUCUGAGUGCUGGGCGUACCAAACUGGUUGGAAAGGAGGUGGCUGGGAAACACCUACUCUAGGCUUUUGGUGUUUCUUUUCCUGCAGAGGGUACUUCACUAGAACAACUUUUCUGAUUGUUUAUUCCUUUGCAUACUCCUCUCUAGGAGAAGUGAAGUGGCUUAUGCUUUUCAUCCAUUUCAAAGCCCCCUCCUCUCAUCUUUUCUCCCCUCUUUGGGACCCAGCUGCCAAGGAACAGGCUUUCUGUCCCAUCCCCACAUGCUGUAUGUUUCACAUGGUUCCUUUGCCUGCAUUAAGCAUUCGGAAGUCAAGAAACGAAGAAUGUGGUUUCUUGGGCUGCUUCAAAAGCCAAAAUUAAGGUAAUCUUGGGAAAGUCACUUAAACUCUGUUUCUGCAUCAGUAAAAAAAGAGAGGGAAAUUACCACUGUUUUAGUGUUCCUUGAUUCACAAAAUAUUUAUGGAACACCUUUUACAUUUACUGAAUGUCCAGUAUGUGUCAAGAGCUGUUUGAGGUCCUAGGACUGUCCCAGAUACUAUGGGGGCAUCUAUGGACAUACAAAAUAAAAAGAAUUCCUACUUGCAUAGUGUUCACAAUCCAGAACAGAGCUAUAAUAUAAUACUUCAAGUGCCAUGAUAGGAGUACAGGGGAGAGAACACCUAACUUUUCCCAGGUGGAAUUCAAGGAGAGAAAACAAUAGAUAUUUUUUCUUAAAUCAUCUCCCCACAACAAAUCUUUUACUAAACUCGUUUUUCUUUUUAUUUCUACUCAGUUUCUAGGAAAUACAUUAAUCAAACAUAGAAAUAGAAAAAAAAUAAAGAAUCUGGCUAAGCUAUGUACUAUCAUUGAUCUUUAAAAAACUAAGAAUUGACUAGCCUGACAUGUGCCAGCCUGCUACUGCUGCCAUAGCAAAGUACUACAAACUGGGAGGCUGAAACGACAGAAAUAAACUUCUCACAGAUCUGGACACUAAAAGUCUGAGAUCAUGUCUAAGUAUCAGCAGGGCUGGUUCCUUCUGAAGCCCUUCUCCUUGACUUGUAGAUAGCUACCUUCUCCCCGAAUCUUCCUAUGGUCUUCCUUCUGAGUAUGCUGUAUCCUCAUCUUUUCUUCUAAUAAGGACACCAGUCAUAUUGACUUAGGGCCCUUUCUAAUGACCUUAUUUAUUUAUUACUUCUUUGACGCUCUGUUUUCAAAUACAGUCACAUUCUGAGUUAACUGGGGUUAAAGACUUGAACAUGUCAAUUCUGGGGAAACACAAUUCAGCCCAUAGCAGACAGCCACAUGAAACUUCUCUACCAGCAAUCAGGAACUUAGCCAUGAUCUUGAGAAUCAAGAGUUCUGAGCAUCCCUUCCCAGAUGUUAAUGACUUGCCAAAUGGUCCUUAGGAAGUACGUCAUUUUCCUCACCUACAAAUUCCCUCUAUUCUAUAAAAUCUACUGGAACUAUGUAUUUCAGAUGGUUUUUAUGUAGGAAACUAUGUAAUUAUAAAAUGGUUAGAAAACUGGUGACUCAUUAAAAUUGUCCUGUUUAUUUUUAUUAGAGCAAAAAAUUUAGCUUAAAGGAUAUUGGUAUAAAAUACAUUCUUAAUCUCACUUGUGUUUACUUUUUCUUUCUCUUUUAUUCCACAUAAUGUUAAGAACUGUGAUGGGGGCAGAAGGGAGAAAUGAAAGAAUAGAUUCAAAAACUGAAUUCAUGCAGCUGUUCUCAUUUAGCUGUAUUCUCUGCUUAGUAUUUUUUUUUGGAAAUUAUAGAAACUGUUGAAAGAAGGUGUUGCAAAAAUGGAAAGCUCUUAGCAGAUGUUUUGCUUUUGGUAAGAGAUCUUGCUGGAAAUAUAUCUUGCAUCUGAAAUGAUCUAAACUUGAGCAUAGAGCUUAACGCAUAUUAGAAUUCCAUUGAUUAAAAAUCUGCCAUAUCCUUUGGCAUGUCUGUGAUAUGCCUACAGAUGGGUUUGGAACUUUACCAUUAACUUAUGCAAUAUGAAUGAAGUCUGGAACAAAAUGACCUUUUAUCUUUAGGCCUUGAUCUUCUUUGUCAUCCUUAUCAUAGUCUACUUUCCUGCCUUUAUUCUCAAAUAUAUUUUAUCUUUAUUGUCUUUCUUCUCUGUAUUUUAUUUCACAUCUCAAUAGAUGUCUUUUCUCAGUUCUAGAAAGUUUUUAGAGCAGAACUCCCAGGAAAUAAAGUUAGCCAAAUUAAAUAUACCCAAUUUCAUAGGCAAAUGUGACCAAAGAAGCAAUUCAUUUGGAGAUGCAUGUAGUAUUUCAUACUUUACCAGGUAAAAAAAAAUCUCUAUUAGAGAAUAUCUUAGUUCUAAUAAAAAUUUAAUUAUGGGGAUUUUGUUUUUUUCCUUUAACUUUGAUGUUACUAAAGUGUUGAGAGGAUUUUGAAUUUGGGAAACAAUCAAUCAUUCUAUGUCCCAUUAUGUCUUGCCAUGUAAGUCUCAUGUUUAGUCCCAUGAGACACACAGUUUCUCAAAGAACUUAAAUUUUAGUGAAACAAUCAAUUUAUGAAAAAAAAGCCUUACUUAAUUUCAACUGCUUCACUCUACCUGUAUAAUUAAUUAAAUUUGGAAAUAUUGAUUAGUAAAAUAGUUGCUAGGCAAAUUUAUUUUCCCCAUUCUCAUUCCAGGUUUUUCUGCCUUUUUAAUCACAGUGUUUGAUGUGGUGAUUCAGUGGUAAAUCAGUGGAGAAUAUGAGGAAUCAAAAUUAUAUACUUACCCUUUUUCUCUAGAAAAGCAUUGUCUAUUUAACCAUGUCAAUAAUACAAACAAUGAUAAUAAUAACAAUAGUAAUAUUAACAUCUAGCUUUCAUUGUGCACUUACUGCCUGUCAGAUAGUAGGCAAUUAUUACCUCAUUUAAACCUAACAUGAGAAUUUACUGUUAUUCUAAUUUUACAAAAAAAAUCCUAAAAUAUUAGAAAGACCUGGCAUCAUGCAACUACUGAAAAGCAAAGCCAAGUAUUCUUCCUCCAAAGUACCCUCUCACCAUCUCUAAUCAUUUUGAUGUAAUAGCCAGUAGACACAUCUAACUUGUAUUAUCUAUUCACUUGAAAAGGAAAUUUUUGAUUGAUUAUAAACACAAUUUAUUAUCUUAAAGCUCCUCUCCUCUAAAACAUUUUUCCAACAAAUGUUUAAGAAAAGGUAUUUUAAGCCAGGCCCAGUGACUCAUGCCUAUAAUCUCAGCAUUUCAGGAGGCUGAAGUAGGAGAAUCAUUUGAACCCAGGAGUUUGAGACCCACCUGGGCAACACAAGGAGACCCCUGUCUUUACAACUUUUUAAAAACUAGCAGGGCUUGGUGGUGCAUACCUGUGGUUCCAGCUACUUUGGAGGCUGAGGCAGGAGGAUCACUUGAGCCCAGGAAAUCGAGGCUGCAGUGAGCCAUGAUUGUGGCACUGCACUCCAGUGUGGGCAACAGAGCAAGAGCCUGUUUCAAAAAAAAGGAAAAGGAAAAGAAAAGAGAGAAAGAAAAGAAAAGGUAUUUUACAUCAUUUUUAUAAAAAUGUAAAUUGACUUAGAAAAAAUGUACUUCUCAAAUGCAGGUAAUAAGAGAAAUGGGAAUUAGGUAUUCUGGAAGAAGAGAGAAAUUGUGUUAGAAUAUUAAAAUUUUAAUAAUGCUCUGCUCCUUGCCACAGAUGUAAUAUUUAUGUUUGAAUCUUAGAAUAAGCCUUGGGAGUUUUAUUUUGGAUUUUUAUUGGCAAAGAGAUUUUCUUUUAGCUUGGGCUUUCUUAUUUUCCAGACUUCAACUGUUUUGUUUAUCUGAUUCUGUAUUUAUUCUUUGAUUCACUUAUGUCUUUUUUGCUUUCUGAUUCCUGCUUUCUCUUUCAUUUUCUUAGCUCUCAUCCCAAAAGAUUUUCUUACAGAAGAUAGGCAUAUUUCUAAGAAAACAGCUUAGGAAGUAGGUUUCUUGGAGCCUAGGUUUCGAUAAAUAAAAUGGCCCAGUAAAAAUAUAAGGAAUCAGUUCCAGACUAGGUUAAAUUCCUGAAAGACCUGCUAGAUCCUUGGCCUGCUACUUUCUAAUUUUUUAAUGCCAAUUAACACUUUCUUCAUUUGUGUGAUAGUAUCAGAAGCCUUUUAGAAUGUGAAGUUAUUUAAAGUUUUCAGAUAAUUGAAUGUCAGUGUCUGCUGUUUGACUUGGAUGGCCCAACCUCAACAAACUUUCCCUAAAAUUUUUCCUGAAAUAUAGUAGUCUCCCACAUUAUCAGGAGCUGUUAGAGAAGAAAGCUGAGCCUGUGCAUUGGUCCUAUGCAAAAGCAAGUCAAGAUGUCAAAAUUAAUUACUGCAGAUCUUUAAAAGGGAAAAAGUUAAAACAGUGCCCAGGACUUCAGCAUCAUUCAGAUGCUUUCAAAUAAUUACAUAAUGAAUAUGUAUUUACUGAUGUAUAAUUUAUUGUAUAUUUCAAACUUCCAAAAGAGCUGGAAAAGACUACCAGCCUAUAAAAACUGAUAGCACUGCAAUCAUACAUAGAUGCUUCUAAUUGUAGAGAAUUUUCCCAAAGUAGCAGUGUCAGUACUAAUGGGUGUGGUAAACUAGCAAAGUCAAUCCCUCUGAUUUUGAACCUAGGAACUCGUAUUGACCAAGGGAGCUGCUGCCACCCAAAGAGAAAUCCACAAGGGCGCUGUCUCCUCUUUCUCAGACUUCCAGCAAUUUCCCCCUCAGCAAUCCAAAAUGACCUGUUACAUGUAGGUAGAUUCUUGUGUUGCUGCACCUUUAACUUAAUUAUGGGCAUGAGAAAGCUGCCAGAAUUUGGUGAUGUAUAGGCAAGAAUGAAUAUCAAAUCUCUUCAGUUUGUGAAACGGUUAUGGUUGUUGAUUACUAAGGACAGUCUCCCUCAUUGUCAGUCUUCUGACACUGAGAUCUAGCGUCAACUUUGUUUCUCACUGCCAUGAAUUAUGUGGGUUCUGCUUUUGGGGACAGAAACAUAAUUUCUUGGUGUGUCUG
rnacentral:lncRNA from 1 species